rnacentral:rRNA from 1 species
ACGGAAGGCAGCAGUCGGGAAUAUUGCGCAAUGGAGGGAACUCUGACGCAGUGACGCCGCGUAUAGGAAGAAGGUUUUCGGAUUGUAAACUAUUGUCGUUAGGGAAGAUAAAAGACUGUACCUAAGGAGGAAGCCCCGGCUAACUAUGUGCCAGCAGCCGCGGUAAUACAUAGGGGGCAAGCGUUAUCCGGAAUUAUUGGGUGUAAAGGGUGCGUAGACGGAGAAGCAAGUUAGUUGUGAAAUCCCUCGGCUUAACUGAGGAACUGCAACUAAAACUACUUCCCUUGAGUGUCGGAGGGGAAAGUGGAAUUCCUAGUGUAGCGGUGAAAUGCGUAGAUAUUAGGAGGAACACCGGUGGCGAAGGCGACUUUCUGGACGAUAACUGACGUUGAGGCACGAAAGUGUGGGGAGCAAACAGGAUUAGAUACCCUGGUA